UACCUGGUUGAUCCUGCCAGUAGUCAUAUGCUUGUCUCAAAGAUUAAGCCAUGCAUGUCUCAGUUCAGGCCUUAAUACGGUGAGACCGCGAAUGGCUCAUUAAAUCAGCUAUGGUUUAUUGGAUCGUGCCCGUUAGAUGGAUAACUGUAAUAACUCUAGAGCUAAUACAUGCCUCGAUGCCCUGACCCUGCUUGCUUGCGUGCGGUGGGGGAUGGGUGCACUUAUUAGACCAGAAGCCAACCAACCAACUGUGCGUGUGCGGCCCACUGCGAGGUGGACGUGGCGUGCGUUGUGACACUCACUUCUGGUGACUCUGGAUAAUUGUUACAGAUCGCAGUCGGCGCUGAGUCGGCGACGGGUCCUUCAAAUGUCUGCCCUAUCAACUUUCGAUGGUAGGUGACCUGCCUAC
rfam:Echinococcus multilocularis genomic scaffold, pathogen_EMT_contig_0669